rnacentral:rRNA from 1 species
GAUGAACGCUGGCGGCGUGCCUAAUACAUGCAAGUCGAGCGAACGGACGAGAAGCUUGCUUCUCUGAUGUUAGCGGCGGACGGGUGAGUAACACGUGGAUAACCUACCUAUAAGACUGGGAUAACUUCGGGAAACCGGAGCUAAUACCGGAUAAUAUUUUGAACCGCAUGGUUCAAAAGUGGAAGACGGUCUUGCUGUCACUUAUAGAUGGAUCCGCGCUGCAUUAGCUAGUUGGUAAGGUAACGGCUUACCAAGGCAACGAUGCAUAGCCGACCUGAGAGGGUGAUCGGCCACACUGGAACUGAGACACGGUCCAGACUCCUACGGGAGGCAGCAGUAGGGAAUCUUCCGCAAUGGGCGAAAGCCUGACGGAGCAACGCCGCGUGAGUGAUGAAGGUCUUCGGAUCGUAAAACUCUGUUAUUAGGGAAGAACAUAUGUGUAAGUAACUGUGCACAUCUUGACGGUGCCUAAUCAGAAAGCCACGGCUAACUACGUGCCAGCAGCCGCGGUAAUACGUAGGUGGCAAGCGUUAUCCGGAAUUAUUGGGCGUAAAGCGCGCGUAGGCGGUUUUUUAGUCUGAUGUGAAAGCCCACGGCUCAACCGUGGAGGGUCAUUGGAAACUGGAAAACUUGAGUGCAGAAGAGGAAAGUGGAAUUCCAUGUGUAGCGGUGAAAUGCGCAGAGAUAUGGAGGAACACCAGUGGCGAAGGCGACUUUCUGGUCUGUAACUGACGCUGAUGUGCGAAAGCGUGGGGAUCAAACAGGAUUAGAUACCCUGGUAGUCCACGCCGUAAACGAUGAGUGCUAAGUGUUAGGGGGUUUCCGCCCCUUAGUGCUGCAGCUAACGCAUUAAGCACUCCGCCUGGGGAGUACGACCGCAAGGUUGAAACUCAAAGGAAUUGACGGGGACCCGCACAAGCGGUGGAGCAUGUGGUUUAAUUCGAAGCAACGCGAAGAACCUUACCAAAUCUUGACAUCCUUUGACAACUCUAGAGAUAGAGCCUUCCCCUUCGGGGGACAAAGUGACAGGUGGUGCAUGGUUGUCGUCAGCUCGUGUCGUGAGAUGUUGGGUUAAGUCCCGCAACGAGCGCAACCCUUAAGCUUAGUUGCCAUCAUUAAGUUGGGCACUCUAAGUUGACUGCCGGUGACAAACCGGAGGAAGGUGGGGAUGACGUCAAAUCAUCAUGCCCCUUAUGAUUUGGGCUACACACGUGCUACAAUGGACAAUACAAAGGGCAGCGAAACCGCGAGGUCAAGCAAAUCCCAUAAAGUUGUUCUCAGUUCGGAUUGUAGUCUGCAACUCGACUACAUGAAGCUGGAAUCGCUAGUAAUCGUAGAUCAGCAUGCUACGGUGAAUACGUUCCCGGGUCU